CAGGAUACAACUAUGUACCAUGGCAUAAAUAAAGUGCCCUUGACAGGGAAAGGGAAGAGGAAUUAGUUAUUUCUAAAGAAGUCGGGGAAUAUUCAGAAAGUAAAGAUGAGUGUGGCAGUCUGAAUGAAGCAACUAGAAAUUUAACAUUGAGAUGGCAGUCAAGGAUAGGCCCUUAGGGAAAAUUUAAGAAUUAGACAAAGGCAAAGUAAUAGAGAAAACUGAGAAGACAGAGGGGAAAAGAAAAAAACAAAAGGAAAUGGUGAACUCAAACCCAGAAAGGAGAACAUUCCAAGUCAGAAACGGUUUAUAAAGUUGUUUCCUGGGAGAUCAUGAGAUGUCAUCUGAGAAGAGGCCAUUUGAUUUGAAAUUAUGGAAGUCUUGAAGACAAUCUAGAUUAUAGUCAUUUGAGAGAUGAAAAGGAGAGAGAGACAGAGCAUGAACGGGGAAGGGGCAGAGAGAGAGGGAGACACAGAAUCGGAAGCAGGCUCCAGGCUCUGAGCCAUCAGCCCAGAGCCUGACGGGGGGCUCGAACUCACGCUCCGCGAGAUCGUGACCUGAGCUGAAGUCGGACACUUAACCGACUGAGCCACCCAGGCGCCCCAAUGUAAUUACAAAUUAUUGUAAUAAUGAAGAAGACUCAGUCUAAUGGCAAGACUUAAAUAAUACUGAGACCACCAUGUGGAUGAGCUAGCCUGCUGAAGAAUGAAAAGCCACAUAUGGAAAAGAAUCCAGCACCCUGGUCAAAAGCCAUACAGCCAUGAGCUGACAGCC